rnacentral:rRNA from 1 species
UAUUGGUCAAUUGACGCGAGUCUGAACCAGCCAAGUAGCGUGAAGGAUGAUUGCCCUUUUGGUUGUAAACUUCUUUUAUAUGGGAAUAAAGUUUUCUACGUGUGGAAUUUUGUAUGUACCAUAUGAAUAAGGAUCGGCUAACUCCGUGCCAGCAGCCGCGGUAAUACGGAGGAUCCGAGCGUUAUCCGGAUUUAUUGGGUUUAAAGGGAGCGUAGGUGGACAGUUAAGUCAGUUGUGAAAGUUUGCGGCUCAACCGUAAAAUUGCAGUUGAUACUGGCAUCCUUGAGUACAGUAGAGGUAGGCGGAAUUCGUGGUGUAGCGGUGAAAUGCUUAGAUAUCACGAAGAACUCCGAUUGCGAAGGCAGCUCACUGGACUGUUAACUGACACUGAGGCUCGAAAGUGUGGGUAUCAAAC